GCCCGCCUAGCUCAAUCGGAUAGAGCGUCAGACUCUUAUCCCCAUACGGAUGGAUUCGUUCCAUAGGCGGUGCAAUCUGAAGGCUGCGAGUUCGACCCUCGCGGUGGGCU